UUCAAACACCAGUUCCUGUACGAUCAUCAAAGUUAAGCAACUUGGAGGCUGGUGAGUACCGAGAUGGGUGGCUGCUUGGGAAUACCAGGUGCUGUAA